UUCAGUCUUUCAGCUCCUCUGCUAAUCUAGUGACUAAGAACAGGAUCUCACUGGAGCUCAAAGAUGUGGGGCACUGGGAAUACUCUGGGUCUGUCUGCUCACGGCUGAUUGCCUGAUCCCAGUUUUAUUAUACAGCUUAAAUACAGACCAGAAGAGGAGUUUGGGGCUUGACACCUGACAUCUUAACACCAGUUCCUGUUUCUUGAGGAAGGAAGAGGUAAAAUAAAUCAGCAUUUACUGUGUCCUUCUCCAUCCCCGGAAGUCUUCAUGAAGACCCUCUCAGCUUCUACUUGAACGUGAAUAUGAGCAACUGAUCAUCUGUUCUGCAGUCAGCCCCUGGCCUGAUUCUGACUCAUGGUAUUGACCUUCUCCAUCAUCACCUUCCACAAAUUUGAUUCCUAUCUAUUCUGCCUGGAAUGGUUCACGAGUAUAGUCACCAUUUAUGUUCCUGACGAAAGCAGGUGAAGGCAUUCGUGCAGAGAGGCGAUUUCCAUGCGUGCAGCAAAGUGUGUGCUGAGAUGAUGAGUCGCUGGAGACCAGGGUGGACUCUUCAGACCCAGGAUAGGCCUCUGGCAGGCACUCUAUCAGGCACUCCAAGCUGGGAAGUGACUCAGGGAGAGAAGGAAGAGAUUUCAGAGAAUGAACACAUAUAGAGAGAGAGGCAAGAGAUGCUGAGUGAGGAUGUCUUGCGUACUGAUAUCCUGAGGAAAGUGGGAAAAUUGGACCCUGGCCUGCUCUGCCAAUGCCGUGAAGCAGUCCGCACCAGGGGCUCCCUUGUGCCUGCGUAGCCUUUCCCAGGGUGUGCUCAAAUCCUGUGACCACUAGGUGUCCUAGGUCACAAUGGAGGACCCUGUGUCAUCUGCCUGGCGGACUGGAUCUCUGCCAUUGGCUGAGUCUUGUCACCAGGCCCAUCAUAAGCUCUGCCCACUCUUCCGGUGGGGAGACUCUUUCCAUGGUGAUGGCAAAGAAACCUUAGUCCCGCCCACCUGGCCUUGACUUCACCUACCUGGCCUGCUGACCCUCACUCAGACCUCUGUGUCGAUCAAAAUGAAUGUUCACCAGUGGCCCGGUGUCAGCAUCUGGUAUAAAGGAUUCGGGACCUUGCCUGAGGCAGAAGGCAGCCUAGGUCUGCGGGUACCUGGAAGUCUAGUGACUUGUGACGCUGCUGCCAGUGAGAAAUGGUGACUCCCACACUCACAUAUCCCCUGGUGGCAGAAUGAUAGUGAUGGGUGGAGAAACAUCGCUCCGGAGCACUCGCGCAGUGGGGCACCGGCCAGAGGCCAGGGCCAGUAGUGGACGUCGCGGAGCUGAAUGGCGAGCCAGUGAAGGGCCCAAGGAUUUCUCCAAUGAGGCAAAAUGCAGAUCAAGCCAAGGAACAUAAAGAUAAAGCAGCUGAAGAAAUUAAAAAGGUUACUCAAGAACAUAGUUAAAAAUUUAAUAAGCUGCAAGAAACCAUAGAGAGACUGCAAUCAGAGAUUCAGAAGAUUAACAAUAAAAUUACAGAGUUAGAAAACUCAAUAGAAAGUAAGAAGAGCACAACUGAGGAAUUGGAAGGCAGAAUUACUGAGAUUGAAGAUGAAACUCUUGGGACUAAUAUAUUUGAAGAGAAAGCAGAUAAAAGAAAUUUAAAUGAAGAAAUCCAAAGAAUCAUGUGGGACUUUAUCAAGAGAAAUAACUAUGAGUGAUUUCAGUACCAGAACAGGGAGGGCUAACAGAAAAUACAAAGGGAACUGUUGAAGAUUUGUUGGCAGAAAACUUCCAUGAUAUCAUGAAAGAUGCUCAUCGAAUUCCACAUAAGGUAGAUCUCAAAAGAAAGUGACCGAGACACAUAAUAAUCAAACUUGCCAAAAUCAAAUAUAAAGAGAAUUUUAAGAGAGGCUAGGGAUAAAGGAAGUCACCAACAAAGGAGAGUAAAUAAUAAAAAACUUGGACUACUCAGCAGAAAUCAUGCAGGCAAGAAGGCAAAGGGAUGACUUACACAAAAUAUUGAAGGAAAAAAAUUGCCAGCCAGGAAUCAAACCAUAACCCUGGCCCUCUGGCCCUCUGGCCCUCUGGCCUUAGCCCUCUAACUCUAGCCCCUAAGCCCUGAGCCCCAAAGCCCCUAAGACCCUAAGCCCUUAGGUCCUAACCCCCAAGGCCCUAAACUCUAACCCUAACCCAAACCGUAACCCCUAUAGCCUAAACUCUACAACCUAAACACCUACACCCCAAAACACUACACAUCAAAACCCUACACACUAAACCCUAUACUCUAAGCCUCAAACCCUAAACCCAAACCUCAAAUCCCAAACCCUAAACCUAACUGUAAACCCUAAACCCUAACACCUAACCCUAACCCCUAACCACCCUAACCCUAAUGACCCUAACCCUAACCCUCGAACCCUAACCCUCUAACGCUAACAUGAAACCCUAAUCCGAAACCCUAACCCUCUAACUCUAACCUCUAACCCUCUAACCCUAGCCCUAAUCCUAACCCCAACCUCCAAACCUAACCCCAAACCCUAAACCUCAAAUCCCUAGCCCUAAACCUAAGAAUGAGCCUAAGCCUAACCCUAUCACUUAACUCUAAACCCUAAACCAUAACA